rnacentral:rRNA from 1 species
GUAGGUGGCAAGCGUUGUCCGGAAUUAUUGGGCGUAAAGCGCGCGCAGGCGGUUCUUUAAGUCUGAUGUGAAAGCCCACGGCUCAACCGUGGAGGGUCAUUGGAAACUGGAGAACUUGAGUACAGAAGAGGAAAGCGGAAUUCCACGUGUAGCGGUGAAAUGUGUAGAGAUGUGGAGGAACACCAGUGGCGAAGGCGGCUUUCUGGUCUGUAACUGACGCUGAGGCGCGAAAGCGUGGGGAGCAAACAGGGAUUAGAUACCCUGGUAGUCCACGCCGUAAACGAUGAGUGCUAAGUGUUAGGGGGUUUCCGCCCCCUUAGUGCUGCAGCUAACGCAUCAAGCACUCCGCCUGGGAGUACGGCCGCAAGGCUG